GUCACAGAGACAGAAAAUCAACAAAUAAUUAGCAAGAAAAAUAUUAAGCGAGGAUAAAUGUCAACCAAAAAGUUGAAAUAGAUUUAUGGAAUAGAGUCCAUAGAUGGAAAAAUUGGGCCAGAUGGUUGUGCAGGAGAAUUAUCCUCAGGUGAUAGAAGAUACCUGCAGGGCAGCCAAUGACUGAUUGAUGCUGUUUAUGAAAGCCUGACCCCUUCCUUCAAGGCAGGCCACCUGUGAGGUGUGAUUUAUGCUCCAGAUCCGCUCACCACCCCCAUCCACAGGUCUGUCCAAAGUUAGACAUUACCUAAGACCACAUCUAAGACCAAAUCCUUGCUCUUUUUUCCUCUUCCCCUCCCUGCUUUCCUCAUUCCUUUACAGAUUUUUCCUAAGUGUACACUCUCAAUAAAUCAUGUCUUCCCAAAC
rnacentral:lncRNA from 10 species